rnacentral:rRNA from 1 species
CAGCAGCCGCGGGAAUACAGAGGGUGCAAGCGUUAAUCGGAAUUACUGGGCGUAAAGCGCGCGUAGGUGGUUUGUUAAGUUGGAUGUGAAAUCCCCGGGCUCAACCUGGGAACUGCAUCCAAAACUGGCAAGCUAGAGUAUGGUAGAGGGUGGUGGAAUUUCCUGUGUAGCGGUGAAAUGCGUAGAUAUAGGAAGGAACACCAGUGGCGAAGGCGACCACCUGGACUGAUACUGACACUGAGGUGCGAAAGCGUGGGGAGCAAACAGGAUUAGAUACCCGCGUAGUCCCUGUCUCUUAUAC